UACGAAGGGGGCUAGCGUUGCUCGGAAUCACUGGGCGUAAAGGGUGCGUAGGCGGGUCUUUAAGUCAGGGGUGAAAUCCUGGAGCUCAACUCCAGAACUGCCUUUGAUACUGAGGAUCUUGAGUUCGGGAGAGGUGAGUGGAACUGCGAGUGUAGAGGUGAAAUUCGUAGAUAUUCGCAAGAACACCAGUGGCGAAGGCGGACUCACUGGCCCGAUACUGA
rnacentral:rRNA from 1 species